rnacentral:rRNA from 1 species
GACGAACGCUGGCGGCGUGCUUAACACAUGCAAGUCGAACGGAAAGGCCCUGCUUUUGUGGGGUGCUCGAGUGGCGAACGGGUGAGUAACACGUGAGUAACCUGCCCUUGACUUUGGGAUAACUUCAGGAAACUGGGGCUAAUACCGGAUAGGAGCUCCUGCUGCAUGGUGGGGGUUGGAAAGUUUCGGCGGUUGGGGAUGGACUCGCGGCUUAUCAGCUUGUUGGUGGGGUAGUGGCUUACCAAGGCUUUGACGGGUAGCCGGCCUGAGAGGGUGACCGGCCACAUUGGGACUGAGAUACGGCCCAGACUCCUACGGGAGGCAGCAGUGGGGAAUAUUGCACAAUGGGCGGAAGCCUGAUGCAGCAACGCCGCGUGCGGGAUGACGGCCUUCGGGUUGUAAACCGCUUUCGCCUGUGACGAAGCGUGAGUGACGGUAAUGGGUAAAGAAGCACCGGCUAACUACGUGCCAGCAGCCGCGGUGAUACGUAGGGCGCGAGCGUUGUCCGGAUUUAUUGGGCGUAAAGGGCUCGUAGGUGGUUGAUCGCGUCGGAAGUGUAAUCUUGGGGCUUAACCCUGAGCGUGCUUUCGAUACGGGUUGACUUGAGGAAGGUAGGGGAGAAUGGAAUUCCUGGUGGAGCGGUGGAAUGCGCAGAUAUCAGGAGGAACACCAGUGGCGAAGGCGGUUCUCUGGGCCUUUCCUGACGCUGAGGAGCGAAAGCGUGGGGAGCGAACAGGCUUAGAUACCCUGGUAGUCCACGCUGUAAACGGUGGGUACUAGGUGUGGGGUCCAUUCCACGGGUUCCGUGCCGUAGCUAACGCUUUAAGUACCCCGCCUGGGGAGUACGGCCGCAAGGCUAAAACUCAGAGGAAUUGACGGGGCCCCGCACAAGCGGCGGAGCAUGCGGAUUAAUUCGAUGCAACGCGUAGAACCUUACCUGGGUUUGACAUGGAUCGGGAGCGCUCAGAGAUGGGUGUGCCUCUUUUGGGGUCGGUUCACAGGUGGUGCAUGGCUGUCGUCAGCUCGUGUCGUGAGAUGUUGGGUUAAGUCCCGCAACGAGCGCAACCCUUGUUCACUGUUGCCAGCACGUUAUGGUGGGGACUCAGUGGAGACCGCCGGGGUCAACUCGGAGGAAGGUGGGGAUGACGUCAAGUCAUCAUGCCCCUUAUGUCCAGGGCUUCACGCAUGCUACAAUGGCUGGUACAGAGAGUGGCGAGCCUGUGAGGGUGAGCGAAUCUCGGAAAGCCGGUCUCAGUUCGGAUUGGGGUCUGCAACUCGACCUCAUGAAGUCGGAGUCGCUAGUAAUCGCAGAUCAGCAACGCUGCGGUGAAUACGUUCCCGGGGCU